rnacentral:rRNA from 1 species
GGGUUGUGAGGUUAAGCGACUAAGCGUACACGGUGGAUGCCCUGGCAGUCAGAGGCGAUGAAGGACGUGCUAAUCUGCGAAAAGCGCCGGCGAGGUGAUAUGAACCUUUGACCCGGCGAUGUCCGAAUGGGGAAACCCAGUGUGUUCCGACACACUAUCGUUAACUGAAUACAUAGGUUAACGAGGCGAACCGGGGGAACUGAAACAUCUAAGUACCCCGAGGAAAAGAAAUCAACCGAGAUUCCCCCAGUAGCGGCGAGCGAACGGGGAGCAGCCCAGAGUCUGAAUCAGCUUGUGUGUUAGUGGAAGCGUCUGGAAAGUCGCACGGUACAGGGUGACAGUCCCGUACACGAAAGCACACAGGCUGUGAACUCGAAGAGUAGGGCGGGACACGUGGUAUCCUGUCUGAAUAUGGGGGGACCAUCCUCCAAGGCUAAAUACUCCUGACUGACCGAUAGUGAACCAGUACCGUGAGGGAAAGGCGAAAAGAACCCCGGCGAGGGGAGUGAAAAAGAACCUGAAACCGUGUACGUACAAGCAGUGGGAGCCUCUUUAUGGGGUGACUGCGUACCUUUUGUAUAAUGGGUCAGCGACUUAUAUUCUGUAGCAAGGUUAACCGUAUAGGGGAGCCGAAGGGAAACCGAGUCUUAACUGGGCGUUAAGUUGCAGGGUAUAGACCCGAAACCCGGUGAUCUAGCCAUGGGCAGGUUGAAGGUUGGGUAACACUAACUGGAGGACCGAACCGACUAAUGUUGAAAAAUUAGCGGAUGACUUGUGGCUGGGGGUGAAAGGCCAAUCAAACCGGGAGAUAGCUGGUUCUCCCCGAAAGCUAUUUAGGUAGCGCCUCGUGAACUCAUCUUCGGGGGUAGAGCACUGUUUCGGCUAGGGGGCCAUCCCGGCUUACCAACCCGAUGCAAACUACGAAUACCGAAGAAUGUUAUCACGGGAGACACACGGCGGGUGCUAACGUCCGUCGUGAAGAGGGAAACAACCCAGACCGCCAGCUAAGGUCCCAAAGUCAUGGUUAAGUGGGAAACGAUGUGGGAAGGCACAGACAGCCAGGAUGUUGGCUUAGAAGCAGCCAUCAUUUAAAGAAAGCGUAAUAGCUCACUGGUCGAGUCGGCCUGCGCGGAAGAUGUAACGGGGCUAAACCAUGCACCGAAGCUGCGGCAGCGACGCUUAUGCGUUGUUGGGUAGGGGAGCGUUCUGUAAGCCGUUGAAGGUGUCCUGUGAGGGGUGCUGGAGGUAUCAGAAGUGCGAAUGCUGACAUAAGUAACGAUAAAGCGGGUGAAAAGCCCGCUCGCCGGAAGACCAAGGGUUCCUGUCCAACGUUAAUCGGGGCAGGGUGAGUCGACCCCUAAGGCGAGGCCGAAAGGCGUAGUCGAUGGGAAACAGGUUAAUAUUCCUGUACUUGGUGUUACUGCGAAGGGGGGACGGAGAAGGCUAUGUUAGCCGGGCGACGGUUGUCCCGGUUUAAGCAUGUAGGCGGAGGUUCCAGGUAAAUCCGGUUCCUUGUUAACGCUGAGGUGUGAUGACGAGGCACUACGGUGCUGAAGUAACAAAUGCCCUGCUUCCAGGAAAAGCCUCUAAGCAUCAGGUAACACGAAAUCGUACCCCAAACCGACACAGGUGGUCAGGUAGAGAAUACCAAGGCGCUUGAGAGAACUCGGGUGAAGGAACUAGGCAAAAUGGUGCCGUAACUUCGGGAGAAGGCACGCUGAUAUGUAGGUGAAGCCCCUGCGGGUGGAGCUGAAAUCAGUCGAAGAUACCAGCUGGCUGCAACUGUUUAUUAAAAACACAGCACUGUGCAAACACGAAAGUGGACGUAUACGGUGUGACGCCUGCCCGGUGCCGGAAGGUUAAUUGAUGGGGUUAGCGGUAACGCGAAGCUCUUGAUCGAAGCCCCGGUAAACGGCGGCCGUAACUAUAACGGUCCUAAGGUAGCGAAAUUCCUUGUCGGGUAAGUUCCGACCUGCACGAAUGGCGUAAUGAUGGCCAGGCUGUCUCCACCCGAGACUCAGUGAAAUUGAACUCGCUGUGAAGAUGCAGUGUACCCGCGGCAAGACGGAAAGACCCCGUGAACCUUUACUAUAGCUUGACACUGAACACUGGUCCUUGAUGUGUAGGAUAGGUGGGAGGCUUUGAAGCGUGGACGCCAGUCUGCGUGGAGCCAACCUUGAAAUACCACCCUUUAAUGGCUGGUGUUCUAACGUAGACCCGUGAUCCGGGUUGCGGACAGUGUCUGGUGGGUAGUUUGACUGGGGCGGUCUCCUCCCAAAGAGUAACGGAGGAGCACGAAGGUUAGCUAAUCCUGGUCGGACAUCAGGAGGUUAGUGCAAUGGCAUAAGCUAGCUUGACUGCGAGAGUGACGGCUCGAGCAGGUGCGAAAGCAGGUCAUAGUGAUCCGGUGGUUCUGAAUGGAAGGGCCAUCGCUCAACGGAUAAAAGGUACUCCGGGGAUAACAGGCUGAUACCGCCCAAGAGUUCAUAUCGACGGCGGUGUUUGGCACCUCGAUGUCGGCUCAUCACAUCCUGGGGCUGAAGUAGGUCCCAAGGGUAUGGCUGUUCGCCAUUUAAAGUGGUACGCGAGCUGGGUUUAGAACGUCGUGAGACAGUUCGGUCCCUAUCUGCCGUGGGCGCUGGAGAAUUGAGGGGGGCUGCUCCUAGUACGAGAGGACCGGAGUGGACGCAUCACUGGUGUUCGGGUUGUCAUGCCAAUGGCACUGCCCGGUAGCUAAAUGCGGAAGAGAUAAGUGCUGAAAGCAUCUAAGCACGAAACUUGCCCCGAGAUGAGUUCUCCCUGAGACUUUAAGUCUCCUGAAGGAACGUUGAAGACUACGACGUUGAUAGGUCGGGUGUGUAAGCGCAGCGAUGCGUUGAGCUAACCGAUACUAAUGAACCGUGAGGCUUAACCUUACAACGCCGAAG